CUAUACAUGCAGUCGAGCGAGCUGAAUUCAAAGAUCCCUUCGGGGUGAUUUGUUGGACGCUAGCGGCGGAUGGGUGAGUAACACGUGGGCAAUCUGCCCUAAAGACUGGGAUACCACUUGGAAACAGGUGCUAAUACCGGAUAACAACAUGAAUCGCAUGAUUCAAGUUUGAAAGGCGGCGCAAGCUGUCACUUUAGGAUGAGCCCGCGGCGCAUUAGCUAGUUGGUGGGGUAAAGGCCUACCAAGGCAAUGAUGCGUAGCCGAGUUGAGAGACUGAUCGGCCACAUUGGGACUGAGACACGGCCCAAACUCCUACGGGAGGCAGCAGUAGGGAAUCUUCCACAAUGGACGCAAGUCUGAUGGAGCAACGCCGCGUGAGUGAAGAAGGUCUUCGGAUCGUAAAGCUCUGUUGUUGGUGAAGAAGGAUAGAGGCAGUAACUGGUCUUUAUUUGACGGUAAUCAACCAGAAAGUCACGGCUAACUACGUGCCAGCAGCCGCGGUAAUACGUAGGUGGCAAGCGUUGUCCGGAUUUAUUGGGCGUAAAGCGAGCGCAGGCGGAAUGAUAAGUCUGAUGUGAAAGCCCACGGCUCAACCGUGGAACUGCAUCGGAAACUGUCAUUCUUGAGUGCAGAAGAGGAGAGUGGAACUCCAUGUGUAGCGGUGGAAUGCGUAGAUAUAUGGAAGAACACCAGUGGCGAAGGCGGCUCUCUGGUCUGCAACUGACGCUGAGGCUCGAAAGCAUGGGUAGCGAACAGGAUUAGAUACCCUGGUAGUCCAUGCCGUAAACGAUGAGCGCUAGGUGUUGGGGACUUUCCGGUUCUCAGUGCCGCAGCAAACGCAUUAAGCGCUCCGCCUGGGGAGUACGACCGCAAGGUUGAACUCAAAGGAAUUGAC
rnacentral:rRNA from 1 species